rnacentral:rRNA from 1 species
GUUUGAUCCUGGCUCAGGAUGAACGCUGGCUGUGUGCCUAAUACAUGCAUGUCGAACGAAGUACUUGUACUUAGUGGCAAAUGGGUGAGUAACACGUACCUAACUUGCCUUUUAGAUUGGGACAACCACGGGAAACUGUGGCUAAUACCAAAUAUGUAUAAAAAACAUAUGUUUUUUAUAUGAAAGGAAGCGAUUGCUUUGCUAAAAGAUAGGGGUGCGCUACAUUAGCUUGUUGGUAGGGUAAAAGCCUACCAAGGCUAUGAUGUAUAGUGGGAUCGAGAGGUUGAACCACCACACUGGGAUUGAGAUACGGCCCAGACUCCUACGGGAGGCAGCAGUAGGGAAUAUUCCACAAUGAGCGAAAGCUUGAUGGAGCGACACAGCGUGUAGGAUGAAUGCCUUAGGGUUGUAAACUACUGUUAUAAGAGAAGAAUAGCUAAAAAAGGAAAUGUUUUUAGUCUGACGGUAUCUUAUCAGAAAGCAGUUGCAAACUAUGUGCCAGCAGCAGCGGUAAUACAUAGACUGCAAGCGUUAUCCGGAAUUAUUGGGCGUAAAGCAUUCGUAGGUUGUUUAUUAAGUUUGGUGUUAAAAACAAAAGCUCAACUUUUGUUUGCAUUAAAUACUAAUAGACUAGAGUUAUAAAGAGGUUAAUGGAACUCCAUAUGAAGCGGUGGAAUGCGUAGAUAUGUGGAAGAACACCAAUGGCGAAGGCAAUUAACUGGAUAUACACUGACACUGAGGGAUGAAAGCGUGGGGAGCAAACAGGAUUAGAUACCCUGGUAGUCCACGCUGUAAACGAUGUUUGUUAAUCGGUGGUGAAAUCACUGAUACAGCUAACGCAAUAAACAAACCGCCUGAGUAGUAUGCUCGCAAGAGUGAAACUUAAAGGAAUUGACGGGGAGCCGCACAAGCGGUGGAGCAUGUGGUUUAAUUCGAAGCUACGCGAAGCACCUUACCAACAUUUGACAUCUUUUGCAAAGGCAUAGAGAUAUGCUGGAGGAUAACAAAAAGACAGGUGGUGCAUGGCCGUCGUCAGCUCGUGCCGUGAGGUGUUGGGUUAAGUCCUAUAACGAGCGCAACCCUUUUCUUUAGUUACUAACAUUUAGUUGAGCACUCUAAAGAUACUGCCUAGGUAACUAGGAGGAAGGAGGGGAUGAGGUAGGUCAUCAUGCCUCUUACAUGUUGGGUUACACACGUGCUACAAUGGCAAAUACAAAGAGAAGCAAAAUCGUGAGGUGGAGCAAAUCUGUAAAAUUUGUCUCAGUUCGGAUUGGAGUCUGCAACUCGACUCCAUGAAGUAGGAAUCGCUAGUAAUCCUAGAUCAUCAAUGCUAGGGUGAAUACGUUCUCGGCUCUUGUACACACCGCCCGUCAAACCAUGGGAGUUGGUAAUACCCAAAGCUAGUUAGUUAACCAUUUAUUUGGAGGCAACUAUCUAAGGUAGGAUCAAUGACUGGGGUUAAGUCGUAACAAGGUAGCC